UACGAAGGGGGCUAGCGUUGUUCGGAAUUACUGGGCGUAAAGCGCGCGCAGGCGGUUCUUCAAGUCAGUGGUGAAAGCCCGGAGCUCAACUCCGGAAAUGCCAUUGAAACUGUAGAACUUGAGGACGAGAGAGGUGAGUGGAAUUCCCAGUGUAGAGGUGAAAUUCGUAGAUAUUGGGAAGAACACCGGUGGCGAAGGCGGCUCACUGGCUCGUUUCUGACGCUCAGGCGCGAUAGCGUGGGGAUCAAACAGG
rnacentral:rRNA from 2 species